GUAAAUUCUUUGAAAAUUAUUAAGUGUCAUAAAUAAAGUCUCAUAAUAGUGUGAAAAUAACACAAGAAAAAAGAUUUAUAAUGUGUACAAUUCCAACGAAGAAAACAAUUGGUUAUUUUAAACUAUUCGCUUUGUUCUCAAAUUAAAAAAAAUCUAAAAACCUUUUACUUUACAAAUAUGCCUCCUAUUACACGAAGCAAUUUAGGUAGAAGAACCCGAAUUGCUGCAAACCAAGCUAAUUACAAAUCUUAUAAUGCGGCACAAGAACGUGACGUAAAAAAUCUUUGUAGGCUUUAGACAGAACCUUAAAGGAUCUACGAAGCAAUCACAACCAUUUUGGCAGUGAUUUCACGAUCAACACCAGCUGAUGAACUCAAUGCAUGUCUAAAGUCCUCCAAUUCGAGGAAACAUGCCAAAGUACUUAAUUUAAGCAAGAAUAUGCGCGUCGAGUUGUUAAAUCACCAGUCUAGAAACAUAUUCUCUAAACAACUCAUUGACAUUGCUUUUGUCAGUUAACUCGAUCAAAAGAUGAACUUAUUCAAAAGGUGUUUCCAGAUGUUUCUCUAAAUUACAGAAAUCAUGAUUGGUUGAGCGAACGAGCUAUAUUAGCUGCAAUCAACAUAGAUGUAAAUGAAUUAAAUUUAAAAAUUCAAGAACAAAUUACAGUGAACUAUCCACCAGAAUUUUUAAACUCGUUGGAUUUGCCACCUCACAAUCUUCAAUUAAAGGUUGGAUCGGUAGUUUUAAUGUUGCGAAAUAUCCAACCAACCAAUUCUUUGCAACGGCACACGGUUAGCGAUAAAAAAAAAUUACUAAACAACGUGAUAGAAGCAACUAUCCUAAAAGCAAAGUAUUAAGGAGAAGACGUUUUCAUACCGCGCAUC
rnacentral:lncRNA from 1 species